rnacentral:rRNA from 1 species
AUUAAUGAGCGGAGGAAAAGAAACCAACCGGGAUUCCCUGAGUAAGGGCGACUGAAACGGGAGGAGCCCAGCGCAUAACCUCGCGGUCCCAGCCGCGAGGGGUGUUGCGUUUCGGUGGAUCCGUCCCGCCCGAGCCGUUCGGCGCCUAAGUCACUGCUUGAAAGCAGCCCCCGGGAGGGUGAUAGGCCCGUGUGGCGGCGCCCGCCAGAGGGUCAGGGCGGUUCGGGCGGAGGGAUCUCCACCGCAGAGUCGGGUUGCUUAGUACUGCAGCCCUAAGCAGGUGGUAAACUCCAUCUAAGGCUAAAUACAAACCACGAGACCGAUAGAGAACAAGUACCGUGAGGGAAAGUUGAAAAGGACUUUGAAGAGAGAGUUCAAGAGGACGUGAAACCGUUAGAAGCCAAACGGGUGGAACCGCGAAGGUCGAACGAGGGGAUUCAGCCCGUCGGCCGGCAGCGGCGGCGGACGGCUCGCUCGACACGGGCGUGAGGACCGGGCGCGAGGCGUCCCGGCUCCGUCCCCGCCUCCCCCUUGCCGGCGGGCUUAUUUCUCCCUCCAGUAGGUCGCCGCGACCCGUGGCGGGGACCCCGAGGCCGUCCCGGAUCGGAAGGCUCCCUCGCGGAGCCGACGCCGGGCGCGGUUCUGGCGGCCCCUGCGACGGUCACUGCGGGGAGGUCGUGCUCGCAGCAACUC